GGAUGCGAUCAUACCAGCACUAAAGCACCGUAUCCCAUCAGAACUUCUCUGAAGUUAAGCGUGCUUGGGCGAGAGUAGUACUAGGAUGGGUGACCUCCUGGGAAGUCCUCGUGUUGCAUUCC
rnacentral:rRNA from 1 species